rnacentral:rRNA from 1 species
AGGUUGAUAUUCCUGUACUACCGAUAACCGUUUGAGAGAAGGGAUGACACAGUAGGAUAAGCUAAGCACACUGUUGGUUAUGUGUGCCCAAGCAUUGAGGCGGUCAAAGUAGGCAAAUCCGCUUUGAUAAUGCUGGGAUGUGAUGGGGAGCGAAAUUUAGUAGCGAAGUAGCUGAUUUCACACUGUCAAGAAAAGUCUCUA